UGGGGCAAGGGUGUCCUCCUGCCAACCAUGGGGCUCUCAGGGUCUGCCCUGCUGAAGGAAGGGCCUGAGUCAGGGAGCUGUAGGAGCAAAGGGGCUGCGGGCGCCUGGAGGGACCACACGGACCCACCAGGGGGUCAGGCUGAAGCCACUGAGCAGGUCUUUGGGCAGGGAGACCUUCUGGUCCCGCGGGACAUGGGUGGAGAGGGGACAGACUGUGCGGUUCCACCGGGGCUCAGAGUCACCUGUCAGUUAGGAGUUGAAUGACCUUAAGCAAUUUCCUUAAGCUCUGUAGGCUUGUUUCCUUGUCUGUUGAGAUGGGAAUCCUAACACCCUCUAAGUGUUUGUUACAUUUAAAGGUGAUAGUUAAGUAAAAACACAACCUUGCAAUACAGAGCAGAAUAAGGGGCAGCUGCUGCUUAUUGUGAAGCUUGUCACCUUACACCUCUGCACUUCCUGAUGCUUGAUAUCAUAGGCACUUGUCACUGGCCAAGUGACAAGACCAAUUUCCUCAAACCCCAGGCCCAGGAAGGCUCCAGUCACAGGCAUGUACCAGACCCUCGCUUGGCCAGUGACCUAGAGCUCCUUGAGCUUCUCUGUGCAGGAGCAACUCCUGAAGUGACUGCCGAGCUGCUCAUCCUGUACAGUUACCCGGAUUUUGCUCCCAGCAAGCCACACCUUGGGCCUCAGGCUCAGGGACAAUGGUGCCAUACUGAAAACGACCACCAGGUGGCAGCAGAAUCCAGACGUCCAGAUGAGGAGGACGGAAAGCCAUGGAAGGCCUCACAGCCGGCAAGAGGGGUGGGCGUCUCUUAAGUUUGCCUCACCCUCAUCAUUCACCCCACCCUCCACACACAGAAACGCACGCUCCUGCUCCUGCAGAAUCACCUGACCUGUUUGCUGUUUCCUCGUCCAGGUGAUUCCACCCUGCAGCCAAGUGAGGACCACGGUUGGAAGCAAUAGAUCUCAUUUCUUCCCAAAUGGCAGCUGCUUUCAUCACUAGAAGCCUCCUCCAAGAAGCCUUCCUAACUUGUCACAUUUCUUCUCCCCCAUCUGUCCAUUCAUUUGUCUGUAGUUGGGGCCAGUGCUUUCCGUGUUUGAAUGUACCUGUGAGUCACCUGAGCUUCCCAAGUGGCCCAGGGGUAAAGAGUCUGCCUGCCAAUGCAGGUGAUGCAAGGUUUAAUCCCUGGGACGGGACGAUCCACUGGAGGAGGAAAUGACAACCCACUCCAGUAUUCUUGCCUGGAGAAUCCCAUGGACAGAGGAGCCUGGAGGUCUGCAGUCCAUAGGGUCACACAGAGUCAGACACAACUGAAGCAACUCAGCAUGCACACACGUUAUGGGUUAAAUUGUGUCUCCCACCCCCCAAAUUCAUAGAAUUCCUCAUCCUCAGUCCUUCAGAAUGGGACUGGGAGUUGUUGCAGGUGUAAUUAAGAUGAGGUCACUAGGGCAGCCCUGAUCCAGCUUGUCUGACUUCUGUCUUUAUGAAAAGGGAGCAUUUGGACAUAGGGGGAACACCAGGUGAAGAGAAGAGCAGAGAUGGAUGGUGGUGCCUUGUCUCCAAGCCAAGAAACACCAGAGAUUGUCACCAAAUUAGCAGAAACUAGGAGAGACGAGGGUCAUCACAGCCCUCAGAGGGAGCGCCCCCCGAACCCAGACCUUGAUUUCAGACUUUUGGCCUCCCAAAUGGUGAGAGAUUGAAUUUCUGCUGCUUAAGCCACCCAGUCUGUGGAGCUUGUCAUGGCAACUCCAGGAAACCCUGCAGUUCCCAGAAGAGAGGGCUGGUCCCCGCUGAGGUCCAGAUGCUCUUCUUUCUCACCCCUCGCUUCUCCCAUCAGGGGGCUUCCAGAGCCACUCGGAUGCCCCCUGGCCCCAUAUGUAGAGGGUGCAGGAGGCAGGGAGCAAGGGGGCCCUUAAACCCUGGCCCUGAGCUGCUGCUGCCCCGUCUAAGCUGUGGGACACAGCCAGUGACUCCCACACUCCUGCUCACACCAUGAGAUGCUGGUGUGUGUGUGUGUCCUUAACUGCUUAGCAGAUCCAGUUCACCCCAGGCAAGCCCAAAGCCAGGGGAUCUGUGAGGUUUAACACUCCUCACCAAGA